UACGUAGGGGGCAAGCGUUGUCCGGAUUUAUUGGGCGUAAAGAGCGUGUAGGCGGCCAGACAGGUCUGCUGUGAAAACUCGAGGCUCAACCUCGAGACGCCGGUGGAAACCGUCUGGCUAGAGUCCGGAAGAGGAGAGUGGAAUUCCUGGUGUAGCGGUGAAAUGCGCAGAUAUCAGGAAGAACACGCGUGGCUAAGGCGGCUCUCUAGUACGGUACUGACGCUGAGACGCGAAAGCGUGGGGAGCGAACAGG
rnacentral:rRNA from 1 species